rnacentral:lncRNA from 1 species
UAUAUAUAUAAGGGUUGCUAAUUUACAACCAACUAAAACAAUUAAGGUGUAAAUUAGCAAGGUGCACCUUUUCACUUUGGACAAUAAAACCAUUCAUAUUUAUUAUUUAAAACUAGUAACUUGAGGAUAAUUAGGUAAUUUUCAUUUAAAAUAUUCUUUAAAUGAAAAAGGAAAAGGAAGGGAUAUGUUCAUGUCAGUUCGGUGCUUCUGCUUCCUUUUCCCUCUUCAACCUUCUAUCGUCGUCCCACCACCACAUGACCCCACAAUCGACACUGACCACCACCGCUUAUUUGUUUAUAUCCACCGCCGCUACACAACGUUGUUGUUUUCACCCACUUCCAUUUGCAACCGGCCUUCAUCUUUGUCGUCACCACCUUCGUUUUACAGGCCAUCGUCGU